CGUGUCGUGAGAUGUUGGGUUAAGUCCCGCAACGAGCGCAACCCUCGCCUCUAGUUGCCAGCACGAAGGUGGGCACUCUAGAGGGACUGCCGGCGACAAGUCGGAGGAAGGUGGGGAUGACGUCAAAUCAUCAUGCCCCUUAUGACCUGGGCUACACACGUGCUACAAUGGGCGGUACAAAGGGCUGCGAACCCGCGAGGGGGAGCGAAUCCCAAAAAGCCGCUCUCAGUUCGGAUUGCAGGCUGCAACUCGCCUGCAUGAAGUCGGAAUCGCUAGUAAUCGCGGAUCAGCAUGCCGCGGUGAAUACGUUCCCGGGCCUU
rnacentral:rRNA from 1 species